GGAAAUCUUGAUAACUGAAGCAUUUUACAUAGAUUAGUGUGAUUAUACUUUGGUAAUUAUACGAAAUAAAAUGAUUGAUUGAAUGGCAAAUAUAUAGUUAUAAUUGCAAUCACUUCUCUGUCCCUCAACCCCUUCCCGCGCAAGAGGUUCUUCGAGUUGGGUUGGUAGCCUCUGCAAACGCUUCUACAUGGAAAUCUUGAUAACUGAAGCAUUUUACAGACAUUAGGGUGAUUAUACUAUAGAGUGUGAUCAUGCUUUGGUAAUUAUACGAAAUAAAAUGGUUGAUUGAAUGGCAAAUAUGUGGGUAUAAUUGCGUACAUAGCGUGAAUGAUAGGGUUGGCAUCCCUGGUGUUAAAAAUCAUGAUACAACCCGAAAGUCUUUAACAACAUUUUAAAUCAUUUACUUAAAAACUUUUGCCGAUUCAUAUUAGAUCAAAUACGUUUUAUUAUCAUUCCUGGAUCAUUUGCUACCAUGUAAAUGAAAGAAAUGCAGGAUUGACGGAUAAAAUAUACGAAUUGCUGACGAAGACGUGCCUGUCUCGACCCCUUGCCAGAUUCCAAUAAUUUCGCCAUUUCUCCCUCCAAAACCUUCCCUUCCCCUCCUGAAAACCCCCUUCGAGUAUUAUUAUGGUAGGAGAAAAUAGCCGAAGGGGUUCUACACUGGAAGAGGUUCCCUUAUUAUGGUACGGCCGGCGGGGUUCCAAAAAUACUGCAAGCGAGUUCACUCCUGCAAAAGCGACGAUGCUCUUCGAAAAAAUAAAUUAUGUAUUGUCUAUGUUUUCCCUGUGGAUAUAUUAUGACGACGAUGAUAGAAAUAAGACUAUUGCUAUGGCUGACUCAGGAAUAUAAUGCAUGGUAGUAGUAGUAGUAGUAGUAGUAGUAAUAGUAAUGGUAGUAGUAGUAGUAGUAGUAGUAGUAGUAGGCUAUAUUAGUAUAUUUUUUUCUCGUUAUUCAUCUUCAUCGUUUUAUUAUCAUUAUUAUUAUCAUUAUUUAUGUUUAUUUCACAUUUAUAUUUGUGUAUUUUUUAACGUUCACAACCUUUAUUAUCAUUGUCAUUAUUAGCAUUCAUUAACCACUAUCAUCAUUAUUGUUAUUAUUAUUAUCAUUAUUCUCACCUUGUACUCAAUCAUCCAUUAUUUCUUUACCUUUUUCGUUUCUGUUAUUCGCUGGGAUUCGAACGCGUGUACCCUGACUUUCAACUUCACGGCGAGACACUCAGCCACUCAACCACCGCGCCACUCUCGAAAAACUGACCUUCCUGACCUUAUUUUUCGACUAACUUAACAUUUUUUGACCUCACUGGGAUUCGAACUGGUGCACCCUGACUUAAAUUUCCACGACCAGACACUCAGCCACUCAACCACCGCUCCACUCUCGAAAAACUGACCUUCCUGACCUUAUUUCUCGACUAAGUAACCUUUUUUGACCUCACUGGGAUUCGAACUGGUGUACCCUGACUUAAAUUUCCACGACCAGACACUUAGCCACUCAACCACCGCGCCACUCUCGAAAAA